rnacentral:rRNA from 1 species
UAGGGAAUCUUCCACAAUGGACGCAAGUCUGAUGGAGCAACGCCGCGUGAGUGAAGAAGGCUUUCGGGUCGUAAAACUCUGUUAUUGAAGAAGAACGUGUGUGACAGUAACUGGUCAUGCAGUGACGGUAUUCAAUCAGAAAGUCACGGCUAACUACGUGCCAGCAGCCGCGGUAAUACGUAGGUGGCAAGCGUUGUCCGGAUUUAUUGGGCGUAAAGCGAGUGCAGGCGGUCUUUUAAGUCUGAUGUGAAAGCCUUCGGCUUAACCGAAGAAGGGCAUCGGAACUGGAGACUUGAGUGCAGAAGAGGAGAGUGGAACUCCAUGUGUAGCGGUGAAAUGCGUAGAUAUAUGGAAGAACACCAGUGGCGAAGGCGGCUCUCUGGUCUGUAACUGACGCUGAGGCUCGAAAGCGUGGGUAGCAAACAGGAUUAGAUACCCUGGUAGUCCACGCCG